rnacentral:lncRNA from 1 species
UGUCAUACAUAUAUUGGUUUAGCAUAAUAAUAUUGUGCUGUAUUCUCCUUUUGUUUCACUGACAAUUAUAAAUCUAUUAUUCCAUGUCAUUAAAUAUUACAAGUUCACCUUUAAUUUUAGUGUGGUAUUUUAUAAUAGCCUUAGUCUAUAAUGCAUUUAGUCUUAUAGAGAAGUAUAUAGAAACUGGUUUUGUUUUUCUUUUUGUAUAUGAUGCUGCACAAAACAUUAUUGUAUCAUCUUUUUUUGUUUUUUUCUCGUUUAUCUCAUUUUGCCUACAGAAUUUGGAUGUAAUCAAAUUUAUCUACAUAUCCGUUUACUGUUUUAUGACAUGGUUAGAAAGACUUUUCUCGGAUUCAGCUUAUAAACACUUUAACCAUUUAUUUUCUGAGAGGUCAUCUAUAAUUGAGGAGAAGUUAGCAAGAGUCCAGAGGCUGAGUGUGGCUUUGAUCUCAGUGUCCAGCCUUUCUCAGUGCAAAUCAUUCUGGGCAGAAAGAACCCUGCAGCUUCUGAAAAUAAUGACAACCAUGCAGGAGACACAGAGGAUGGCAGCGACUGAAAGAACUCCAGCUCAUGAAGUGAACUCAUUAGAUGAGAUAGGCAGAGACUUCUGGACCGAGAACAGGCAGGGUCUGCACCCACAAUAA